UGGGGAAUCUUGCGCAAUGCGCGAAAGCGUGACGCAGCAACACCGCGUGAGGGAAGACGGCCUUAGGGUUGUAAACCUCUUUCAGAUGGGACGAAGGUUGUCCGGUGAAUAGCCGAGAUGAUUGACGGUACCGUCAGAAGAAGCUCCGGCUAACUACGUGCCAGCAGCCGCGGUAAUACGUAGGGAGCGAGCGUUGUCCGGAAUCAUUGGGCGUAAAGAGCAUGUAGGUGGAUCAAUAAGUCUGCUGUGAAAGUCGAAGGCUCAACCUUCGAAAGCCGGUGGAUACUGUUGAUCUAGAGUACGGAAGAGGCGAGUGGAAUUCCUGGUGUAGCGGUGGAAUGCGCAGAUAUCAGGAGGAACACCAAUAGCGAAGGCAGCUCGCUGGGACGUAACUGACACUGAGAUGCGAAAGCGUGGGGAGCAAACA
rnacentral:rRNA from 1 species